rnacentral:rRNA from 1 species
AGAGUUUGAUCCUGGCUCAGGACGAACGCUGGCGGCGUGCUUAACACAUGCAAGUCGAACGGAAAGGCCCUGCUUGCAGGGUGCUCGAGUGGCGAACGGGUGAGUAACACGUGGGUGAUCUGCCCCUUACUUUGGGAUAAGCCUGGGAAACUGGGUCUAAUACUGGAUAGGACCAUGCUGUAGGUGGUGUGGUGGAAGGAUUAGUUUCGGUAAGGGAUGAGCUCGCGGCCUAUCAGCUUGUUGGUGGGGUAAUGGCCUACCAAGGCGUCGACGGGUAGCCGGCCUGAGAGGGUGGACGGCCACAUUGGGACUGAAAUACGGCCCAGACUCCUACGGGAGGCAGCAGUGGGGAAUAUUGCACAAUGGGCGCAAGCCUGAUGCAGCGACGCCGCGUGGGGGAUGACGGCCUUCGGGUUGUAAACUCCUUUCAGCCAUGACGAAGCCUUCGGGUGACGGUAGUGGUAGAAGAAGCACCGGCUAACUACGUGCCAGCAGCCGCGGUAAUACGUAGGGUGCGAGCGUUGUCCGGAAUUACUGGGCGUAAAGAGCUCGUAGGUGGUCUGUCGCGUCAUUUGUGAAAGCCCGGGGCUUAACUCCGGGUUGGCAGGUGAUACGGGCAUGACUGGAGUACUGUAGGGGAGACUGGAAUUCCUGGUGUAGCGGUGAAAUGCGCAGAUAUCAGGAGGAACACCGGUGGCGAGGCGGGUCUCUGGGCAGUAACUGACGCUGAGGAGCGAAAGCAUGGUAGCGAACAGGAUUAGAUACCCUGGUAGUCCAUGCCGUAACGUGGGGCGCUAGGUGUGGGUUUUUCUUUCCACGGGAUCCGGUGCCGUACCUACGCAUUAAGCGCCCC